UGUGUGUGUGUGCGUUGCUGAAGCAGUUCUAUCGCUGGCUGAGACAAACCUUUUGGACUAAGAGAAGCUCCCACGGAUCAGACCAAGGCCCAGAUGAGGCGACUGCAGACGGGGGAUUUCUGGGAAAUGUCAUCCAUUUAAUAAAUGCGUUUCAGCACCUCUGAGCACGGGGGACUCUGUGGAUCUCCAGUGUGUACCGAGAGGAGGAAAUUAGUCGUCUUGAUAGAGAUCCUGCAGUGACGGACAGCUCUGAGAGUCGGCUGGACCUGAAGGGGCCGUUUAGGAAGAAGAGAGUCUGGUGAGUGGCUUUGUUUGCCGACAGACACCGACGCCACAAUAUCAUAUUAUUCCAUUUUAAAGACUUGUGUUAUUACAUUACAUGCCACUUAGCUGACGCUUUAAUCCAAAGCCACUUACAAUAAGUGAAUUUACAAUAACUGAAUUUCAACCGUAAGGAUACAAAGUGCAAUUUCAUCAAGUUUACAACUUGCUAUAGACGAGAGCAAUUUCGGUGCUACAAUGUGUUAGUGUUUUUAGUCUGAAGAGGUGUGUCUUUAGUUUGAAGAUGUAAAAAGCUCUCUGCGGUCCUGAUGUCAUCAGAGAGCUCGUUCCACCAUUUAGGAGCCGGGACAGCAAAGAGUCGAGUGUUUAGCUCUCAGUGAGGGAGGAACAAGCAGCUUGUAGCAUCAUCAUCAUCAUCAUUCCAGGAUCCUGUAGAUAUCAGCGCUGUUGAAGAAGAUAUUGCUGCAGCAAAGCGUUGGUUUUUGCUUUCGUUACACCACCUGUCAUCUGACUCACUUUGAUGCCACUUCCAAUGAAUUUGUCUCCCGAACGUUUGUGUCGCGCUGAGAAUGAAACGGAGAGUGUUUGCUGUCAUAUUCCCUCUGUUGUGUCUCAUGAAGCUUUCGCACAUUUCUCUCUUGGACAUCCAACAAGCUUUUGUUCUGUUUUUUUUUAAAAUUUUUAUUAUUUGACAAAUUCUAGCUUUUUAUUUAGGCUGGUCACAACUGCGGUAUGUUAUUACCUGACAUAUCAAUGCCCUCUCCAAGACACCACAUGGGGACCUAUUCACCCACCUUUGAAAGCCUUUAAGCGAGGUGGGAGAGGUGGAAGACCUCUGAACACCAUCCAACACGGACAUGUGGAUGGAGCCAACAAAAGAAAUGUGCUGCUGUGACUGCCGUGUGAUUACGGGGACAUGACAACCUGCUGUGAACAGAUAUGCAGUAGAUGGUUUCUGAUGGAUUAUUCGGGCGGGGAACAUCUUGUUUUGCCCUGUAGCACUUGGAAAUGAGAGACCGAAUCACACGCGUAGCGUGCGUUACCUUCCUGACCUUGUCUCGUAUGUUUUGUGUGUGUGUGCGUGUGCGUGCGCUGAGUGAUUGACAGGUCUAAGCUGUAACCAUGGGAACAAAGAUGGAGGUGGCUCAACUGGAGAGCAGGAUGAACAUUGAGGACUACAGAAAGCUGCGGGGCCUCUUCCUCGACCCGUCCGGUGCGCCCCGCUCCUUGUCCAGGACGGACUUCAUCAACCUCUCCUGGUCAUCGGUGGGCCGAGGAUCCAAGGAGGAGUGCGGCCUCCUAUUUGACAGCGUGGUUGUCGAGCGGGACAUCCACGGCGUGGAGGGAGGGGGACGCGUCGCCUGGGGGGGGCCUGUGUUCUUUUCUGCUGCUGCACCUUUCUGAUAAAGUAAAGAAGAGCAGGCCUCCUCCCUGGAAGCCACCACGCACGUUGACCUGUCCACACAGACACCCGGUUCAGAAGGUAAAAGGUCUGCGACCUCGCAGGGGGCUUCGUAGAGGAAGAGUUUGCUGUGAUGGAUGGAACCUGUUGCCUUUUUUUUUAAAUCUACUGCAUCACGUUAUCGGAAAAACAUUUUGACAUUGACUGACGAGGAUGAAUCCAUGACUCUGCUGACUAGGUGGAAUUCCACAUUAUUAAACAUUGUGCGAGGAAGGUUCGAAGGUAUUACGGCCCUCUCAUCAAAAUGGUCCAGAUAAAUGGCUUUGGACCUUUUUUGAGUUUAACAUCUAUCAAUUAAUAUGUAAAUUAAGCGGCCGGCAUGAAGUGCCUACUGCUGUCGAGAAAGUGAUGGCUCACCACUUUAAUCGUUCAAUCCUGAGAAUGUCAAAAUGUCAGGAUGUUGUUUUCAGAAUGGCUUGAAGGUUUGGAACCCUUUAGCUGUGGCAGCCUUAAACAGGAACAGAGACUAAUGGGGCUUAGAAGAAUAAUUGCAGUGGGAAACCAUGUCAGUAAAGAGUGGCACAACUCAGGCAGGGUUUAUGCAAAAUAUGCAAACGGCCCAAUAAACCUCGCACUUCCUUCCCAUCACCAAACGGCAGGUAGAUAUUGACUUGCUGGUUAGCGAAGCCGCUAUAGAGCCAGCUAAUCCAAUCAGGGGUGGGAGACCAAAAUAGAACUAGGAGAAAGCAAAGGUCGUACCGGCACAAAAGCAGUAUGUGUUAGCGUUUAAUAAUUAACGCUUCCGUGACUUAAAAAAAAAAAAAACGUCAGCAGGUGUUCAAGUCUCACGAAAACAAUCCUGCUAAUGGCUUAUCACAAAGACACGUCCAACCGAAUGUUCAUUUGCACUAAAUGUCAGUUUGAAUAAAAAUAACAAUUCAAGCAAUUUACAGCAGGUGAAAGGCGAUGAGAGCAAAAGUCGCCACGGAACGAUUCUCAUCGUCGCAGCGACUCACCAGUAGUUGAUUGAUAGAUAAUCAGAAUAAUUAGAGAUGAAUACGAGUUUGCAGAUGGCUGUGAGAGUGAAACAGUGUGCAGUAAUUACAUUGAUAGUAAAUCUAAGCCCUGACCUCUCUUCUAGAAGUGUUAAUAAACCCUAUUCUUUCAUUAACGAUAUUCGAUGUCUCUUCAUACACAGUCAGCUCAAGCCUUUCUUCUUCUUCUCCUCGCCCCGCCAAUAAAACGCCAUCAUUCAUUAAUCCUUCUUGUUUUAUUAGUUUCUGCACCGGGGAACGUGCACCAAUAACAGGGAAGUUAUUCUAGACAUCGAUUCUGGUAUUUCAAAUGCGGUUUUAUUACCAAAGAUCCCCAUCAAAGACACAGUUGUUUUAUUCUUGAAGGCUCCAGCCUCUCUUUGACUAAUUAAUGUCACACUAGAAUGUCACAAGCCGCAUCACAAAGAGCAUCGACGCUCCUCUGAGAAGGUCAAUUUUACAAAAAUGUUGCACAAGCAGAAACUCUAUCUUUUUUUUUGCUGCUCGGCCAAAUCCGAUUUGUCCGGGUCAAAUGUUGUUUUGUUGUGUCCCCUGGUGUCCCCAGGUGUUGUACCUGCAGAGUUCAGGUCAGUAUCUGUCUGUCAGCAAAGGGGGAACUGUGCUGGUGUGGUGUGGGACACAGAAGACAUGUCCCUGCUGCACACACAUCGACUGUGACCCAAAGACCUCUGGGUCACAGACGCGGUGCUGCUGCUGCCCAACGUGCAAGUCACAAGGUGACUUUCAUUUCGGGAAAAGAAGAGACAGCAAAGCCACGUCAGUCCGCAAAAUGAUUGAUCGGUGUCCUGGUUGUAAUUUUGGGCCUGAAUGGUUUGCACAAAAUGUUAUUGUGCCAGAUAUUGGGGAAGAUAUUGUACUGCACAGAGGUAAACAAAAAGAAACAUCAAUUAUUGAUCUGCACACUUUUCCUUGAUUUUUUUCUCCUUUCUAAUUCUUUAAUCAACAGGUUUGCGAUGACAAAGAAUUGGGGGCAUCAAUUAUCCGUCAGCAGAAAUGUUAUUAUGAUCUCAUAAUAGUUAAUUAAAAUUUCUACCUGUGUGGCUCUCUGAUUUUUAAUGAGAUGAUCUAAUCCCCCCCCCCCCUUUCCUUUUACCCAGAUAGCUGUUUCUUUCACAAGUAAGGAGGUGUGUUUCUAUGACAUUCUGUUUAAACAAGACUUUGAGUGCAAGCAUAAAGUACAGGUAACAUAUCUUUUAUAUUCACAUGUAUAGUUAUCGUAUAUCUAUAAAGAUAUAAUCAAUCCUUUGAAAUGCAUCACUUCUUUUUGGGGUUUGAAGUUUACUCCCUGGUGUCUAGACUAUUGGGUGGAUCCCUCUGAUCCGGACCACUCUGUCCUCAGCAUAGGUGGACAUCGGUGGACGGGUGGGUUUUACACUGAACAGGAGUCUUCGUUUUCUGCAUCAUCGGUCACCAGUCGAUCCUUCCAUGGCUCUGUGUGUUUGUACGUUCCCCAGGUCGCCGCCUUACAUUUGACCUCCGCUCAGAUCUCCCUGUUCGAGAGUCUGAGGGCGGACUCGGAUUCGGCGGACAUCGUCCGAUGGGAGGAGCUGGUCCGAGGAAAGCACGGCUCCUGUCACACUGUGACACACCGAGGAGGCACGCGCCCUCCUGGGUUAGAAAAGGUCCCGUGCCUGUGGGAUGUAUCCCGUCAGCUGUGUGUUCACCGCCUGGCCGGCGUCUUCCCGGAGACGCGGGGGGGGGGGGGGGGGGACACGCAGACGCUCCUGUUGGUCCACGAGGAGCGUGGGUUCCUCCUGCUGUCCUUCAACAGCCGGCUUCUCCUGUUGGAGGAACAAAGGAAGAGAAGAGGACCAGCAGCCACCAGCACCCUGUGACCUGUGUGCUCUAUUAUUUAUAUAUAUAUAUAUAUAUAUAUAUAUAUAUAUAUAUAUAUAAGGUCUGUUCAGACAUGUAUGCAGUUGAAAUGGACCCCUGAGUCUUUAUUUCAUUGAUUGUGACUGGUGAUCUUCAUGGAUGUUCUGAACUGGAUGUUUGAAAGUACAUUCUUGAUCUUGGAAAAAGAAGAGUUUUACAAUCUCGCUUCAAAGUCAGUUUAGUGAAUGUUGUGGAGCUUUCAAUCAUAUCAAAUGCUUCUUAUUUAUGUUUUGAUAACAUCUUCUUUUCAGUGGUGUGAAACUAUUGUGAUUGAUUGUAUGUGUUUCCUUUCACUCAUUCCUCUAACUGACGCUAGUGUCCCAACACAGGAUAUAAAUACCACGCACACGGAAAAAAUGUAUACAAUAAAAAUGUCUCUCAUU